rnacentral:rRNA from 1 species
UAUUUUAAAGAGAGUUUGAUCCUGGCUCAGGACGAACGCUGGCGGCGUGCCUAAUACAUGCAAGUCGAACGAACGGAGGAAGAGCUUGCUCUUCCAAAGUUAGUGGCGGACGGGUGAGUAACACGUGGGCAACCUGCCUGUAAGUUGGGGAUAACUCCGGGAAACCGGGGCUAAUACCGAAUGAUAAAGUGUGGCGCAUGCCACGCUUUUGAAAGAUGGUUUCGGCUAUCGCUUACAGAUGGGCCCGCGGUGCAUUAGCUAGUUGGUAGGGUAAUGGCCUACCAAGGCAACGAUGCAUAGCCGACCUGAGAGGGUGAUCGGCCACACUGGGACUGAGACACGGCCCAGACUCCUACGGGAGGCAGCAGUAGGGA